GAUUGAACGCUGGCGGCAGGCCUAACACAUGCAAGUCGAACAGUAACAGGAAGAAGCUUGCUUCUUUGCUGACGAGUGGCGGACGGGUGAGUAAUGUCUGGGAAACUGCCUGAUGGAGGGGGAUAACUACUGGAAACGGUAGCUAAUACCGCAUAACGUCGCAAGACCAAAGAGGGGGACCUUCGGGCCUCUUGCCAUCGGAUGUGCCCAGAUGGGAUUAGCUAGUAGGUGGGGUAACGGCUCACCUAGGCGACGAUCCCUAGCUGGUCUGAGAGGAUGACCAGCCACACUGGAACUGAGACACGGUCCAGACUCCUACGGGAGGCAGCAGUGGGGAAUAUUGCACAAUGGGCGCAAGCCUGAUGCAGCCAUGCCGCGUGUAUGAAGAAGGCCUUCGGGUUGUAAAGUACUUUCAGCGGGGAGGAAGGGAGUAAAGUUAAUACCUUUGCUCAUUGACGUUACCCGCAGAAGAAGCACCGGCUAACUCCGUGCCAGCAGCCGCGGUAAUACGGAGGGUGCAAGCGUUAAUCGGAAUUACUGGGCGUAAAGCGCACGCAGGCGGUUUGUUAAGUCAGAUGUGAAAUCCCCGGGCUCAACCUGGGAACUGCAUCUGAUACUGGCAAGCUUGAGUCUCGUAGAGGGGGGUAGAAUUCCAGGUGUAGCGGUGAAAUGCGUAGAGAUCUGGAGGAAUACCGGUGGCGAAGGCGGCCCCCUGGACGAAGACUGACGCUCAGGUGCGAAAGCGUGGGGAGCAAACAGG
rnacentral:rRNA from 1 species